UGCGUAGGCGGCUUCUUAAGUCUGGUGUGAGAGCCCAGGGCUCAGCUCUGGAAGUGCACUAGAUACUGGGAAGCUGGAGUACCGGAGGGGAGAGUGGAAUUCCUGGUGUAGCGGUGAAAUGCGUAGAUAUCAGGAGGAAUACCGGUGGCGAAAGCGACUCUCUGGACGGUUACUGACGCUGAGGACAAAGCUGGGGGAGCAAACA
rnacentral:rRNA from 1 species